rnacentral:rRNA from 1 species
CCUACGGGAGGCAGCAGUGAGGAAUAUUGGUCAAUGGGCGCGAGCCUGAACCAGCCAAGUAGCGUGAAGGAUGACUGCCCUACGGGUUGUAAACUUCUUUUAUAAAGGAAUAAAGUGAGGCACGUGUGCCUUUUUGUCUGUACUUUAUGAAUAAGGAUAGGCUAACUCCGUGCCAGCAGCCGCGGUAAUACGGUGGAUCCGAGCGUUAUCCGGAUUUAUUGGGUUUAAAGGGCGCGUAGAUGGGUUGUUAAGUCAGUUGUGAAAGUUUGCGGCUCAACCGUAAAAUUGCAAUUGAUACUGACAGACUUGAGUACAGUUGAGGUAGGCGGAAUUCGUGGUGUAGCGGUGAAAUGCUUAGAUAGCACGAAGAACUCCGAUUGCGAAGGCAGCUUACUAAACUGCCACUGACAUUGAUGCUCGAAAGUGUGGGUAUCAAACAGGAUUAGAUACCCGUGUAGUC